rnacentral:lncRNA from 1 species
UGAAUCAAGGAUCAAGGAGAACUUUGAUGUCUUUGGGUGGUCUAUACCUGAAGACCUGUUUGCUGAGUUUUCUGAAAUUGAGCAGGCAAGUAGUUCUUUUCCUCAUUGCCUCGGUCGAUUCCCUUAUCAUCAUGGCUCCUAGUAAUUGUUGACUGGUGGGCCACUAUAUAAAGCUUUUUCCUUGAUUCCUUUAGCGACCGGAUGAUUGGAUGGUGUAUGUGGUGAUAUACAAGGAAGUAUAAGUUCAUUUGAGAGGCACAGGAUCUUGUGCUAGAUACUCUCUCCUUCUUAUCCGUUCUCUCAUAAUAAUAACAGUUUGGUUUUUAACUCUGCAGGCAAGACUUAACACAGAAAGCUGCUAUACCCAUGAGACCUUCGGCCCCUACAAGACAGUUGAGGAACUUUGGGAUGGUGAGGUCUGAUCGGACAAUUUAGUGAAUAUUUGUAAUGACGGGUUUUUUUGAUUGGGAGAGGUUUGCUGGUCGAUUUCUCUCUCAUAUCACUAACGCCUACUUGAUUGGUUCUCUUGACUGUGUAGUUUCACAGCUCUACUUUGUUUUGCUACCACAUAAUAAAACAAUGCUUUUGAUUUCCAUGGAUUGUGCAGUGGUGGUAGGAAGUUGGAAGUAUAGAAAGCAAUGGUACAUGCUCCAAAAUUGAGAAAAAGAAAAUGUUUCAAUGCUAUGCAAUUCAAAUUUUUUAGGCUGAAUAAUUCAAGAAAUUAUGUCAAUGUUAGUGAAGCUGAACUAAAAAGACAAUAAUAAGCUUAUCAGCUAAAGUACAUUCAGUCGUUAGGAUUAUCAACUCAGAGAUCAUAAAAUAUUCCCAGUAAUGGCGAUUUAUUGUGAAUUCAGUUUAGGUGAAUUGCCCUGAAAUAUAACAGAAAUGAAAUUAAUUCAGAUUCAGCCUGAAUUGGGCUUAAGGUGUCUUCCAGUUCAGCUUGCCACAGUUCCCUCCUGCCAAUAAAAGAGGAAAGUUAAACUCAGAAGCCUUUAACAGCCAUUGGACUUGAGCGUACGUUUGAAGGCAGAUGAUGGCUUGAAUGGUUGACCACUGCUUACUCAGUAACUCAGCCUCUUAAGUAAUCAAAUAAGGUGAAUUCUCAAGGAAUUUUGUGUGUAUUUAGUUGUAUGUAGCAUUAUAUACAGAAGCAGGAUGGAUCAAGGGGCUAUAAAGAAACAGGGGGAAAAGGAUUUGAUAACGUUUGGAAGUUUAAGUGAUAUUUUAUUAUGGAAAAUUAUUAAGGAAAGAAAAGAAAAAUGUUAAGAAAAAUAAUUUUUUAUAUAUUUAAAUUUACUAUAUAUAAUAUGAAAGAAAAUCAAAUAUAAUUAAAAUUAAUAGGAAAUUUAUAUAUUUUUAAAUUAUUUAAUUUUUAUAUAAAAUAAGUUUAAAAUAACAUAUAAAAAUAAUUUAUUGAUUUUAAAUAUUUUUUUAUUUAUUUGUUUCUUCCCUAAUUUUUCGAACCAAGCAUAACCUUAAAUUACUAAUGGGUGAAAAUUAGAUACAAUGCACUUGAAGAACCUGUUGAAGAUGGGGGUGCAAUCUGUUGGUAAUCCAUGGAAGAGUUGGAUAAUCAUUAGAAUAAGAUAUUCCCCCCAAUUUCUUUUUAUUUUGAGCUUAAAGUGAUCCAAUUAUUUGCAGGAUGAAUUCAUCAAGAUGCAUAUGCGCCAGUUUAUGUUAUAUGCGUACUACUAGUUCUCCCUACAUAAUUUCUUUUCUUCUUUCCUUUUUUUUUUUUUGUAAGUACCAUUUUUUUUAUUUAACAUCGUAUUUAGCCUGGCAAAUAUGUGACCCCAAAUUGUUGAUGUUUAUUGUGAAAAACAUAAUAAGAAGGUGAAAAUAAAAACACACAAAAUAUAAAACAAUUUACUUGAUUUAGUUUAAAGACUAUAACAUUGGACAAAAAAAAAAAAAACAAAAAACUUCUUAUUCUAGGAGAUUAUAAUUCUAGAACUCUCAAAUUCCAAAGUUCAAUUACCAAAAAAAAAACUUUUUUUUUUUUUUUUUUAUCAAAAUGUUUUUCCAUAUUUUUUUCUAAUUAGAUAUGAAGAUUUUAUAUAAGAAACUAAUUUUAUGAUUGUAAUAUAUUUAUAAUAGGAAACUCUUUUAUAAAAAUAUUUUCUAUUAGGAAACUAUGAACGGUUUUUCAAUUCACUCAAAAAUGGAAUUUAGACACUUUCCAGGAAGUGUUGUUUUCAGGCUAUUGAGAAACUUUGGAAUUGUGAGAUCUAAUCAAACUUAUUAGUUUAUGCGUCUUGAUUACGCGCAUGAGGCAAGUUGCAUGUAGUAAACGUGCAUGAAACUUUUGGUGUAUAUAGAAGCAGAAGUGGAGCCAGGCUAUGCCCAAGGGGCAAAUGACCCCCUCAAAUUUUUGACAAAAGUACUACCAAGUAGCGGGUUUGAUCCAAGCUCAAAAUUAUGCAAAGUAAACAUGGUUGGCUCUAGGCUAUAAUGUUAUAAGAGCAUUAACUAGUCAGUAAUUUUGGUGAAAGAAAAUUUUUUUAUAUGCUCUUGAGUUAACUAAUUAAAAGGAAUGAAAUAAUUUUCAAUUUUAGGUUAUGUUUGGUUCCUAAAAAGUAUUAAAUAAAAAAAAAAUGGUAGGAAAAAUGAUUUUCUUUGAUUAUAUUAUAGAAAAUUUCAAAAAAAAAAAUAUGUAUUUUAAAAUUAUUUAAUAUUUAUGUUGAUGAAUUAAAAUAAAUAAAAUAAGUUUACAAAUAAAAAUAAUUUAUCAAUUUUAAUUUAAUUUUUUAUUUUUCUCUCUAUUUUCUUUUUUUCAUAUUUUUCCUCAAAUUUUCUGAAAUCAAACAUAAUCUUAACAUUUUCAUAUUUAUUUUAAGAAUAAUUAAUUUUUAAUAUAAAUACCGUUAAUUAUUUGAUAAAAAGGGCCUCUAAUAACCCAAAAAUUUGAAAUUUAAUCUUCCAUUCUUUUUUUUUGCAUCAUUUAGAUAAAAAUACUUUUAUUAUUUUAUUGUAAAAAUAAAUAUUUCUUUUAAAACCUGUAGAUACUUAAAAUAGAAAAUGAAAUUUAUGUUAAAAUUGGUUUAAAAAAAAACAUGGAAAGGCUUUUAAUCAAAUAACCCUACGCUCUUUUCUCUUAAGGGAGACGUUUCUGUUAUUCGGAGCUUUGAAGGGUGGAGCAGCAGUUUCUGUUUUCUCGUAUCUAGAAAUGUCUCCGUUCUUUGAAUUGAACAUAGGAGCAAAGAUCCCUUCGGUAGGAUUGGGAACCUGGAGGGCUGAUCAUGGUCUCAUUGGCGAUGCCCUUGCCACCGCAAUCAAGGUCUCUCUCCCCCAUACGCGUCACUUCUUCUUUUCCUUCCUUUUCUAUUUGUACGUUUUGCACCUGAAUUUGUGUGUGGAUCCUCUCCAAUAUAUUGUAUAUAUAUUUGUUGAUGGUACUUAUCUAAUUAGGGUUCAUUGCUCCAGGAAUUUGGUGUUUUGUGUAUAUUAUAUUCUUUCUGGGUGUCUCCUCUUUACUUUAUAUACGACUUUUCUUUACGUAUCAAAAAAAAUUAUAUUCUUUCUGGGUGUGAAGGUAAAGUUACGUUUUUUUGUGUCUUAUGGUGCAAAUUCUUUAUAAUUUUCCUAAGGACGUCAAGAUCAUGGCCUUGAUGACCUUUUGAAUAAACAUUUGCACAGGUUUUUCACGGAUGGGGUGUUUUUCUGCUUUGGCUUAUUGUAUAGAAGGUACCAGAAAAAUUAUUGCUUGAAUGAAAAUCAAUUCACAACCAGGAAACUAAAUAAAUAUACGGGCCUAGAAGCUAUUUACAGUAACUUACAAAAGAAUAGCCUAAAUUAUGGUGACUACUGAAAAGAAUGGCCAAAAUCAUAGAGAAACAGUCGUGGGAUCAAGGAUAACGGACAAUUAACCACAAUAUGAAAGAUCUCAUACUCACAAGAUGGUGCUUCCAUUGGAGAUACAAAUCUUGGAACAAAGAAUGAUGAAACUGUUGAUGGGACAGGGGCUUAAUAAGUGCAUCAGCCAAUUCCCAAUUGAUUCGUAGUUGAAAUGUAAGAAACAGUAAGGAUCCUCCUGAUAACUUGAUAAGGAGCAAAGUGGAUGUCCGGCAGAUAGAUGCAUGGAUCCAAAAUUGUGGCUGUAAAUAGUAGGUUGUCUGGACAAUGAAAUGCCAAGCUCACUAAGAAGAGAGCAAACCUGAAGGAUCUUGGUAGCAGUGGAGGAAGGGCCCAAUACUUGGCCUUGAUUGAGGUGUGGUUCAUAGUCUCCUGUUUGUGUGAGUGCUAUGAAACAGCAUUACUGCCUAAGCAGACAAGGUAGACCAUCAGGGAAGUGUAGUCAUCGCAGUUCCCAACCUUAUCAGCAUUAAUGACAUGGAAAGGUUAGUUGCAAUUAAGGUAGAGACCAUGUCAAGUGUAUUUUUAAGGUAUUGAAGUAAUUUCACUGUGUAUACUUUGUUGUGGCAUUUGCUUUGGCGCCUUUAAUAUAUAUAUGUUUUCUAUUUACCUAGAUAUGUAUAUAGAUAGAUACAAAGAAGUAGGUGCUUGGCGGUGGAGCUAUGAGUUUCAGUUGGCUUGUGCAUGCAUUGUGCAAGUUUAUUGGUUGAGUAGGAGAUGUUCUGUUGAGUUAAUUCCAAGUUUUCCAGGCAACCAAAUGAACCAGAUGUGGACAUGAUUAAUCCUUUUUGUUUGGAACACUUCCAGCCUCAUGUUUGAGUCCCAAGGUCACCCUCAUCUUAGCCAAUAAUUUAAACAAACAUAGAAAGCACUGAAACUGUCAUAAGUAAUGAAAACAAUCAUCAAAUCUAAAAAUAUUGAAUCUUUAAAAAUUUUGCUAAACUAGACAUUUCAAAAUCGAGUUCUUGCAGAUUCUAGAAAGUGAAAGAAACUCUAAGAAUCAAAACUAAAAGUUUUAAAUCAAAGAUAAUCAAGUUCCUAACACCACUCGGUGAAAAAGGAAAACAAAACUUCAAGGAGAUCUUCAUAGGCAUGUUGAAUGAGAAAAUCUGUUUGCUGCCACUCUUCUUCUCUCCCUUUGUGUGCCUGUUCCUCUUCUCAAACUUAUCUAAAAGAUCCCUUCUCAGUAUCAAAAGAUGUUUAAAUAGGUCAUCUCCAAACCUUAGACCUGUGGAAAGAGGGUUUGGGCAUUUUUAAUGGUGUUUGGGCCUUCUUGGGUUAAGACUGAAAUCCCUUGCUUUAGCUUUAGCAGAUUUUUGAAAAUUUUCCCCAAUUUGUGUGAUUUUUCCAGUAGGGAAAAUGACCUUAGAAUUUGGUGAAAAUUGGCAGAUCCAUUCUUCUAUGAGUCUAGGAUUUUUCAAAAUUUAUUUCUCCCCUGAAAUAGUUGCAAACUUUAAAUUGGUCAAAAUUAGACCUACAGCAGAGUUAUGUGAGCUUCCUCUUAUUUUGCUACUUUGUUCUUUUGCUUCUAAACCUUUGUGCAAAAUUCUUGACCUCUCUAAGAUCAUCCCAAUACUCAAAAUUAUUUUUUUUAAGUAAUUCGAGUUUGAGAUCUUGAAGGGAAAUACCUAUAAAGUUUUACAUACAACUUGAAAGCCAUGAUAACUGCGCACAUAGAGGGAUAAGACAAACUUAGCUAAUUAAGGGCUAUGAUGUCUACUAACUUGCUUCAAAAUGUGAGGUAAUAUUAAUAAUACAGUGUCCAUAUAAUUUGAAAGAUCACAUAAUACAUGAUAUAAAAAGAUUGGCAUGGUAUGGUAAGUUCCUCCAAUAAAUCAAUCCAAUUUCCAUGUUGAUCGCAUUAUUUAAUUUGGAGGCUUUGAUUCUAUUGAAUUCCCUAAUUUACGGUUGUUCAUGUAUGGAAAAGAGUCAAAUGUUCAGUAUGGGGUAAUCCAGAUGAUGCUUCUUAUUUUUCUUUUUCUUUGUUUUGUUUUUUUUUUUAAUGGAGUUUUGCAUCAAAUAGGUAAAAAAUGUUUUAUCUAAUAGAGCCACUGUUUUGAUUGGAAAAUGCCUCUAAAAAAUGUCUAACUCACUUGUAUUGGAUUCUAUAGUCUCUUCUCUUCUACCAUAGCCCUAAAUGGUGAGAGGAUUAGCCUCCCCUUGAAAUAACCUCGUGAAGACAAUCUUUUCAAUAUUAAGGGUUCCCCUAUUUAUAUGUUCUUAUUUCAAUGUUGAUGACAACUAAUAUUUCCUUCUACUGACUAUUAUAUUUUUCUUAUUGAAAUUAGCUUUAAUGUUUGGAAGAGGUUUUUGUACUCUAUCUUGUAGAUGUUGUUGUCCUUUGUCUAUACAUGAGUUGGCUUAUGUCUAGACUUCAUAGCUUUGGUUUCUUUCUUUUGCUAAUUAAUUUAAUAUUUAUAGAACCAAUUCCACAUAUCAUAGAUGCAUAGAAACAUAUAUAUAUAUAUUUGAUAGGUUGUAAAUAUAAUAUAUGCACAAACACUACCCAUGAUCUUGACAAGUAGGUCAUCACAUAAUAGAUGUUUAGCAAGUAUUCACUAUUGCUAACUCGGGGAGGAAUGCCUCUAUAGGCAUUUCAACUGCUAUGUUAAACCAAGGUUUGGUUAAUCUCAGUUUGAUGAUAACAAAAUAAGGUUUAGAAGUAAUGUUUUAUUUUAAGUGUGCUUAGGUUUGAGUAAAUCAUCAUAGCUAAGGUUUGAGUUUAUCUCAUAAAAGCUCAUUAAUGACCAUGAAGCACAUGUUUGCCACUUCCUUCUUAUUUUCUUCUUCUUCAAGAGUCAUCUUCACUAUUAGUCCAAGUGGCCAUCAUCGCCUUCUUCUUUCCUUUCUUUGCUCCACUCUUAUAGAGAGGGGAAUCAUAUUUAAUAUGUCUCUGUUUCUUGUACUGUAGCAUAUUAAAUCCUUCUCCCUGUCACCAUUCGAUGAAGCUUCCUUCUUUUGAUUGUCUUUUCUAGGAGUGAAUCUCCUUCCUUUGAGUUUCACCCUUCAUAAAUUUCUUGAAUUUCUUUAUGAGGGUCAAGUCUUCAUAUUCUUCACCAUCAUUUUCAUCAACCUCUUUUCCAAUAGUGGAGGCUUUUUUCAAAUAAGUCAUGUUUUAAGUGGUUUUCCCAUGUUACUAUUGUCGGUGAUUGUGCUAACUUACUGUCGGUGACUUUUCAGGGCUAUACUCUUCUUUUUGUCUUCCACAUCUUGAUGGCUCUUGAUGGUGAUCUCAUUGGUCAUCAAUGACCCCAUCAAUUCUUCUAAUGGUAGCUUGGUCAAGUCCUUGACCUCUUAGAUUGCGGUGACCUUAGCUUCCCAUUUCUUUGGAAGAGAUCUUAGCAUCUUCAUCACUUUUUCAGAUUCAAUAUACAUCUUUCCCAAAGCUUGAAGACCAUCGACAAUGUUAGUGAACCUACUAAACAUCUUAACAAUGGUUUCAUUAUCAUUCAUAGAAAUAAUUUAUAACUACAAGCAGACAAAUUAAUUUUAAACUCUUUUACUUGAUUAGUUCCUUCAUGAGUUUACUUCAAGAAGUCUCUAAAUUUCUUUAACCGAUUUACAUUAAUAAACACGAUUGUAUUCAUUUCUAUCAAUAACAUAAUGUAAAAGGUAAAUGAUUUUGACAUUCAAUUAAACUUUUCUUUUAUCAAGCUUAUCCCAUUCUUGACUAGGUUUUGGAAUCCUCACUCCAUUUUUCAAUUUUGAAAAGAUGGUGGGACUAUUUUCAAUGACAUGCACCUUAAAGAUCAAAAUUGGUAGAUUAUACAAACCAAGUCAUUUUCGUUUUCCAAUACGCAUACUCGGUUCCCAUAAAUAAUGGAGGUCGGGUGGUUGAAAAACCUUCCAAAUGGGAUGAGUUUGAUGAAUUAUCCAUAUCCUCUUAGAUGGUUAAAUCUUUCACAAGAGAUCUAGCUCUAAUACUAAUUGUUAAACAAGGCUAAUUAGAUUAAACAAAACACCUAAAAGGGGGGAGAGAGGAGUUGAAUUGGGUUUUAAAAUUGUUUCAAAGAAUAUACUUAAUUUUGAUGGCUCAAAAAAAAGUAAAGAGAGAAAGAUAGAGAGAUGCAAACUCGAUUUUUAUGAUGGUUCGACAAAUCCCACCUAUAUCCAAUCUCCUCAAACUCCUUCCACGUGAGGCUUCCACCAUUUCGAGGCUUUCAACCGAAGCCUUCAAGCUCUACACUUGGAUUCAAUGGCUCCAAUAGGCACGUACACAAUCUCUUCAAGUUUAAUCCUAACUUGAGGCUUCACCAUGCAACCUUACUCAAAUUGAUAAAGGUUUAACAACAUUUAAACUAGCACAAUAAAUGCUUGAAAAGAUUAAGAAAGAUUUGCGAGUGAAUGAUUAAUCCACAAAGGAAUAAGAGCUUUGAAUGAGAGAAAAUGGUGGUUUGAUAAUUUAAUGGAAGUAUUAUCUUAUCAAUAAAUGCAUAAGAGCUUUCUAUUCAUAGGUUUUUAACCUUGGACAUCUUUUUCUACAAAAAUGAGUCUUGGCCAGUCGAGCUCCAUUUCGACCAGCUGAUUCGCCGUUGAGUAUUAAAUGCACUGUAGAUGACCAUUGGUCCUUUUUGAGCUUUGAUCAGGCCUCAAGCAGGAAAGGUGAAGCCUAAACCAAGAAAGCAAGCUCUUUGGAAGAGGGAGAAAAUUUUCUAGAACCUAGGAUGGAUCUCAACUAGAAAAAGGUAGCUGAUUGAACCAGUUUCCAACUAGUUGAGUUGGUUUAAGUGCACCCUAGAUUGGUUGCACCUAAAAGGCCUAAAAACUUUUUCUUUUUCUUCCCAAAAGCUUUCUAAUGCUUAGGCAAUGUGUUUAGGUAAUUUAUGACUCUAUUUUGAAGAGUUUUGCCACCUAAGGUUUUUGAAGUUUAACUUAGUUUCAAGUAAAGUGAGAACUUUUAGGCAUUUUUUCAGAAAACUAAGUAUGAAGAAAUGCAUGAAAAAAGUUUAAAUCCUAAGAGCAUUUAAAGGAUUCAUCUAACAUUAAUUUCCUAGGCAAAAUAAGUCUUCAUGCAUCAUUGAUUUCGCUUUCCUUGAAUUCUUUUAAGUGAACUUGUCAUUUUCUUUUGAUUUUCUUGUUAUAAAACCGAAACUUAACUUGAUUUAAAACAAUUAGCAUACUUAACCAUGUUUUGUUAUUAUCAAAAUUUGAUUAAGAGAACUCUUAGGCUAACAAGGUGCAUUUGCACACACCCUCUCUUCCAAUGUCAUAUAUUCAACCAAUUGAGGUUAAGCCUUAAUUAGUUGAGGCUAAACCUUAAUCGGUUGAUGCCCAAUCAAAGCCUUGAACCCUAGUGGUCACUUGCUAGAAGCAUUAAAUGCUAAUGACUAGUGAACCGACCGAACUAGUGCUCAAUCAAACGACGCCAAAACUGCGUCUAACGGCUAGUUUAAGCUUCCAAACUCUAUUUAAAGGCUUUAAAGUUCUUUAUUUAAAAGUGUAAGAGUUCUAAAUCUUUUAUGAAUAUCAUUUGAGUCUUGAGGGAGUGUUUUUUUGUGCACUUUGUUUCAAAACUUACAUAUCAUUGGUGCACCAUUUAAUUCUAAUUUAUCUUCUAUCAUUUGAACCUAAAUUUUGUACUAGGAUUUUGUGAGAAUAUUUCCUAUCAUUUCUUGUAAACCUUUGAAAGGGAAAAAUCUAAGUGUGAAGUAUCAUUUAGGGAUUCUCAAGCGUGGGGUAUCACUUGAGAGAUUAUUCAAGAGUAAGGUAUCUCUUAAGGAUUGUAAAAGGUGCUUGAAACCAGAAGUCCAAGAGGGUUGUUUGGAACCAUAAUCCAAUUGUAAAGUUUGGAGGUUUGGUUAAAAGCCUCGGAAUGAUGGAACCCUCACUUGAUUAGGAACUUGAGAAGUAUAGGUUGGGUUGCAUUGAACCAUCAUAAAAAAAAGAGUUAGCAUUUUCUCUUCCCUAAUCUCUUUAAUUUAUAUAUCAUUAUUUUUCAUUGUGUUUAUUAUAUAUUUGCAUAUAAUUAUCUCUUGCAUUCAUACAAUUUAAAUUUAAAAAACAAAAAGCCAUCACCCUAUCCACUCCCUGUAUGGUGAUAACCUUAGGUUGAUCUAGCUAAAAUGCUAACAUAGUAGCUCAUCAUAGUUUGUCAUUUUGUGGUGCACCUAUAUUAAGACACUGAUUCAAACAGCUUAUACUUGAUUUUGGACCCAAAAAGAUGCAGAUUUCUUGGAUUUAGAAGUGGUCAUCUAAUAUUUUGAUGAUUCAUAACUAUUCCUUUUUCUUUUUUGUCCCUGCAGGUUGGAUACCGCCAUAUUGAUUGUGCUCAACUUUAUGAAAAUGAGGAAGAGGUAGUUACAACAAUGAUGCAGUCCUAAUUUCUUUGUCAUUCACCCUAUCAUUAUGAUUAUUAUCUGUGCGUAUUUAUAGUAAAUACUUAAAUUGCAUUGAAGUUUAGAAAGAAAAAAAUCAUGAGUAGUGUGCAAGAAAACCCUGAUGUAAAACAGAGACAAUCAUCAGAACAGAAAUGAAAGACAGUAUUCUACUAAAGCAAUUUCUCAAGUCUAUCCCCACUCAUGAAAGAAUUAUCUAUGUUGGUUUACAUCAGAAAUUGACAUCCAAAUGAAAAGGGUCUGCAGGAUCAGUUCUUUGAUCUUCUUCUCCAAAAUUCCUAUACCUAGAUUGCUGAUAGCUUGAUCAGGGAGAGGUGAAUAUUCUUUCUUAUGUACUUCGAAUUCUGCUCAUGAUUAUUGAUCAUGUUCAUCUUCUUCUAUUGUGCAAACCAUGUCUCCCUUAUUCUUGCCCCUCCCCUCCCCAUAAACUAGCGAUGCCAACUAGUCAAUUGUUUUAGAAAUUUCAUGAAAACCUGCUGUAUUGCAAGCAUAAUGAGAAACAGAGACCAAGAGUCCCAAGUCACCAGAGAAUGAAUAAAAAUCGGUCCAGUAUUCCUCUUCCUCCUGCAUAUGCAACAUUCAUUGGGAGUUGUCCUUCCCAAUUAAGGAUUUUGCUCAAGCUUCUGUCUGGGCCUUUAGCCAAUUUCUUUGAGAGGGAAACCGACUACUCCAACUCUAGCCUGCUUUCUGUAAUAGUAGUUCAGAACUUCCUGUCUGAUUGCCCUGAACUCAAAAACAGGGAUGCCUGGGCACCAAAAAAGAGGGAGAAAUCAUUGAGAUGUGACAUGUAAUCCCUAUUUACCUUUCAGAUCAUCUCAUUAUAUCCUUGCUGUCUCCCUGAAAUGCACUGAUUUGUAAUUAAUACUACAUUAAGCAUUCCAUCUUCCAAAUCACCUUCUUGAAAUGCACUUAUUUUCAGUCAAUAAUGCAUCAAGUUUUCUGUGCCUCACAAUCACCUUCUUACACCUUCCCAAGCUAACAGAUCCAAAUAGUAUUUCAUAGAUGCUACCCAUCCAAACUAAUAGGAAUGAAAUCUUUUAAGGUACUGCACCUCCCUUCGUUUCUUUUCUUUCUUUUUUAUUUUUUAAUAUCAAGUAUUUUUUUUUUUCUUAUGGCAAUUUAAGAACUGAUUCUCUUAGUUAUUAGUGAUAGAAAUGUAGGUAAACUUGUGUGGAUUUAACAUAUCCAUUUUUUAAAAAUUGGUUAUUUGAUUAGUCUUUUAACUGAAAAGUCAUUUUGCUUUUGUACACCAUCUUUUAUUUUACUUUCUUACCUAUACAAGGGAAUGUUUGAAAUUAUUUUAUUGAUUUUUUCAUUCUUUGUUUUUUUAGAUUUAAUUCUACUCCAUUGAUUAUAUCUAAACUAGUUGAUGUUUUUCUUAAUGCUUUCUAAAAGUUAGGAGAGAGUUUGAUAAUCACGAACACUCUGUAACCUCUUCUCCAUUUCAUCCAUCAUUCGCAUCCGCAAUGUGUCUUCAACUUCCUAUUUUAUGGAUAAUUGAUCCAACUUUUGGGUCUCUUCUAAUCCUUAUUCUUCACUUCUUGAUUUUGUCCUCAUUGUCAAUUCUGUUUGUUGUAAAAUUCUUUUGAUUAUGAGGAAUCUAUCCCUGUGACAAUGACAAGCAAUGCUGCCCGAUGAACCUUUUCAUGCAUUACAUAUGUGAGUUCACCCAUAAUUCAUGCAUGGAGUAGGGGGACAAUCCCGAUCUUGGACAUGAAACACAAUUUAUUAUUUGCUGAUUCAUAAACAAUUCUUAUAAUUUUUGUGUGAGGAUUUUAUUCAAUUUUAUAACAUUCUUAUCUAGUUUUAUUUCUUUUAGAUUGGCUUUGCCUUGAAGAAGAUUUUUGAAGAUGGUAUAGUGAAACGAGAGGAUUUAUGGAUCACUUCGAAACUCUGGUUUGUUUGAAUCUUGUGCUGACCUAAAAAUAUACUGGGUUUUCAUAAAAUUGAAAUUAUCAAUUGAAAAUUGUAAUGAAAAGUUCGAAACAUGGUUACCAUGUGGCAUGUUGCCUGUUUUCUACUGUUUAAGUGGAAGUGCAAUAAUUUGCAGGUGUUCUGAUCAUUCCCCAGAAGAUGUACCAAAAGCAUUAGAGAGGACUUUGAGGAAUUUGCAGCUUGACUAUCUAGACUUGUACUUGGUAUGUAGAUCAUGAUUAAGCUGCUUGUUCAAGUUAAUCUACAGAUAUUGGUGGAAAACUAGGAAUGCAUUUAUUGUAACAUAUAUCAAGAGUCGAUUCUAGCUUUGAGCUGGCAUUCAUUUCUUCUUUUUCUUUUGUGGAUAUCUUAAUUCCCGUCAUUUCCAUGCUACUAAAUGGCGCUGUUGAAAUUGUGAAGAUCCACUGGCCAGUCAGCCUGAAGAGGGGGUUGAUUGGUUUUAAGCCCGAAUAUCUUACUCAACCUGACAUACCCAGUACAUGGAGAGCUAUGGAGACGCUUUAUGACUCUGGCAAGGCUCGAGCAAUAGGCGUGAGCAACUUCUCCACAAAGAAGCUGGGGGAUCUAUUAAAGGUGGCCCGUGUUCCUCCUGCUGUCAAUCAAGUGGAGUGCCACCCUUCAUGGCAACAGCCACAGUUACAUUCAUUCUGUAAAUCUAAUGGAGUUCACCUUUCUGUGAGUAUGCUGAUAAAAAGUACUUCAAUCUCCCUUUUGGGCUGAACAUGUAUUAAGCAAAACAGAGAGGUCCACUUUAAAUAUUUCCGUUUAAGGAAAUGGACUUGUUACAAGAUGCUUCUAAAAAGAAAUGGAUUAAAAUCAUCUCCAUGUAUCUGCAGACAGCCCACAGAUGAUUAUUUAAUGAUGACCAUGAGUUUUCUUGAUUUCAGGCGUAUGCACCAAUGGGUUCCCCAGGUGGCACAUCUGGCAAGAGCAGGCAGCUCCUUAAGGAUCCUGUUCUCAAUAUGAUUGCAGAGAAAUUGGGCAAGUCUCCUGCACAAGUUGCUCUUCGGUGGGGGCUGCAGAUGGGUCACAGCGUGCUACCAAAGAGCACAAACGAGGGUAGACUCAAGGAAAAUUUUGAUGUUUUUGACUGGUCUAUACCUGAAGACCUCUUUGCCAAGUUCUCAGAAAUUGAGCAGGCCAGUAGUCUCUCUUAACUACUUCAAUCUCUUUCUGCUAAGUAUAAAUGUAUGCAUGUGAAGCUUAAGAUCCUAGUCAUUAAUCUUGUGGAUUUGAUAGUAUUACACAUAUUUUUAUUUUCAGCCAUUACCCUUUUCUGAUUGAACAGGAUAAACCAUACCCUACUUGAUUCUAUAAAAAAUGGAAAUGUCUGCCGGCCCAUAGAUACAACGACCAUUCAGACGUUAACAUGUCCAAUUUACUAACGAAUAUUAUGGGCAAUUCUGAGUUGAGUUUAGAAUACAAAGUGACUUCAAUGUCUGUAUUGAUGAUUUAGUUUAUGGGUUUUGAUUGCGCAGGUGAGGCUAGUUACAGGUAGUAAUUUUGUGCACGAGACUUUUGGAGUAUAUAGAAGCCUUGAAGAACUGUGGGAUGGUGAGAUUUGAGCAUGCAUGCAAUCGAUUAUGUAAAAUGUUUUCUUUAUAUGCUCAACUAUCCUUAAUUUGAUUGGUUACUACUUAAUUCUAAUGUCAAACGCCUAGUUGCGGUGGUAUUUCUAAUGGACCAGGUAAUCCCACUGGUGGUUUUAAUUAGGAUAUUUGGUUAGUUGUUUAGGAUAAAAUUAAUAUACAUCUAUGUUUUUUAUACAUAAGAAUGGAAUAGAAGCUGACAUUGGUAUUUACACUUUAAGUGAAAAAUCUUACACAAUUCUUGUAACAUAGAAUAUGAUAAAAAUAUGGUCAACCAAAUGUUGAAUGAGAUAAUUAACCUUUUAUAUAUAUAUAUAUAUAUAUAUAUCUAUCUUUUUACAUGAGCUACAAAAUAAGAUUAUUUUUUCUUUAGAUUUUUUUAUAUAUCCCUUAUUUGUAAAAUAAAAAAUUUUGACUAAAAAAAAUAAAUUUGUAGUUAAAAAAAAAAACUAAAAAAAUAUUUUUAAAAUAUAGUGUUAAAUAACACUAUUAUAUGUAUUAUUUAAUAUAUAUAAUAUUUUUGCAAUAAUAUAAUAUAAAAUUUUAAAUUAUUAAAUAUUAUUAUUUAUAAAAGAAAAUUCAUAUUUUUUUAAUAAUAAAUAUUGGAAUAUAAUAUAAUUUUUAUUUCAAAUAAAUAUUAAAAAAUAAUAGAUUCUUCGUUUUACUUUUUAGUUCAUUUUACAAAUAAGAUAUAAGCAUACUAUUAGCUUGGGAACAUAUCCUAAUAGGAGAAACAUAUCAUAUCUGAUAAGACACAUGCAUAUCAUGUCUGAUAUGACUUUCCAAAAAAAUAUGAUAUCAUAAUAUAAUAUAUAUAUAUAUAUAUAUAUAUAUAUAUAUAUAUAUAUAUAUAUAUAUAUAUAUAUAUAUCCUUAUUUAUUAAAUUUUAAAUUCCUCAAAUUAUCACCUGAUAUUUAAGAAAAGAAAAGAAAAAUUGGUGAUAAAAGGGAAAAUAUCAUUUAUGGUUUAGCAUAAAAAAUUUCUCAUGCAAUCUGAAUAUGCCCAACAUUAUUGUUCAAGAAAUGAUAUGAUUUUGUCUAAUUAUAUCAGAUUUUAUUUGUCCAGCUACUUCUAGAUUUAUAUAUGUAUAGAUUUAUUUUAUCCAUUAAAAAUUAUUUUAAAGAAAUAAUUGUGUAGAUAAAAGUAGGGGUCUCCAAAAAGCCCGCGGCCCGCGACCCGCUUUAGGCCCGGCCCGGCCCGACGGGCUAAAGCCCAGCCCGAGCCCAGCCCGAGCCCGUUUAUGGGCGGGCCGGGCCGUAGGCCCGCCCUUAGGCCCGGCCCGCAGGCCCGCCCUUAGGCCCGACCCGCAGGCCCGCCCUUAGGCCCGCCUUUAAUUUUUUUUUUUAAAAUAAUAUACUAUAUUUUUAUAUAUAUAUAACUAAUUCAUUUAAUAAGCACAAAAGAAAUGUAACUCAGUUGGUUAGAGCCUUGAAAUUUAUGCUUGAGGAGAGGGGUUCGAAUCCCCCCUCUUCCUUUAUUUAAAAGCCAUUUUGGCUUAUUUAAAAAAGCCCGUGGCCCGGCCCGUCCAGCCCGCUAGCCCGCGGGCUCAUAGGCCGGGCCGCGGGCCUAGCAUUUUAGCUCGGCCUGGCCCGGCCCGGCCCGUUGACCAGUCAACGGGCCCAUAGGCCCGGCCCGAGCUGGGCCGCGGGCCUCCUAUUUACGGCCCGACCCGUUGGAGACCCUUAGAUAAAAGUGAUAAUGAGUUUAAGGUCCAAAAAAAAAUGUAAAAUCCAAUUCAAAGAUUAACAAAUAUUGAUAAUAGAGAUAAAAGGAUAUGACUUUUUCGUCAUAUAAAUUUUUUUUAAUGAAUUUAUUAAAAAAACCGUGGAAAGCUGCUAGGCAAGUGUUUUUUCAUUUUUGUUUGUUGCAAAAUAAAUCGUAUCCGUGACAUCCGAAGCGGUUUAAAACCGUCAAAGAUUCCGAGCGAACAAUGAAUUUUUCAGCGAACGACAAGUGGACGGUGGAUCUUUAUGGCCACAAAUGGUAAGGGCUAGACGGCAAAAGCAAGACGCCAGCAUGAUUCCCGUUUCCCACUUUUAUAUAUGAGGAGAGGAGAAGAGCUUGUGGCACUCUGCGUUCUCUUUUUCAGAUAUUUGGAGUCUCUAGAGUAGUAGUCGUCCAUAUUUUGCGUUUUUUUUCCUAUCGUCUGAAAAUGUCCGACGACAUCCGAUUCUUUGAACUCAACACUGGAGCUAAGAUGCCUUACGUCGGUUUGGGCACGUGGCAGUCCGAUCCGGGUCUCGUGGGCGAGGCUGUGGCCAUCGCUAUCAAGGUCUCUCUCUUCUUCUUCAUGACUUCCUGCUCUAUGUCUGCUUGCAUUUUUUGGAAUCCUUGUAUCUGGAUUUGUGAUUGAAUGUUUUUUUUUUUCGAGGCAAGAAUCAUCUUGAAAUAUAAAGAGAGCGUGCCGUGAGGAUUUUCAGAAAAAAUUAGGAUCCAUCAGAAGGUAGAAAUAGGGCUUAAAAGGCGAGAUGUUUUGAUAAUACAAUGUAAAUGUUCCAAGCUUCUGAAUAUUUGUUCAAAAACUACACUUAUAUAGUCUUUUCAUUUGAUUCCAUUUUCUACAAGCGCAAAUGACAUUUCUGCUUUUGUUUAAAAUUUCUCAGCAUGUUGGCAAUAUAGAAAUAGAACUAGAUUCCAAAUAUGGGAUGAACCGAGACGAAGCUUCCUUCCUUUUAGGAUAAAAUCUCUUUCCAGUGCGGUUCUGCAUUCCACUCAUAGAUAUUAAUGUUCCUAAGAGUGGUGGAUCUUCUGAUUUUGAUAGGAGAUCCGCGCUUGAGAACAAAGCUAGGUGCCUUCUUUGUAUUGGGAUUUCAUAUUAUUUGGUGAGGGGAAUCACUUACUCUUGGAAAUAAUCUUUGUGAAGACGCUUCUUUCAUGCAUAUUUCCCUGUUGAUGAGCAAUAAUAUUUCCUCCUGCCAGAUCUACAUUUUCACGGCUAUUAUCUUUUCUUUUUGAAAAAGAACUCAGUUCUCUUUCUUCUAAAUGUUAUGGAUGCUGCUAUUCCACACCUGUACAUGGGUUUGGCUUAUGAGCUACUAUGGCUAGGUUUUGAUUGGACCUAACCGUCAUAGCUUGGGUUCAUUCUUUGGCUGAUCAAUUUAUUAUUCAAUCAUAAAUAUAUAUUGUCCAUAAUGCAGACAAGUACUCCAUCAUCCAAUAGAUGUUUAACAUUAGUAGCUAUUGCAAUAGGAGAAAAUCAUUAUGGUUAGUCUGACUGCUGACUACUCACAGGAGGGGAACAUAUGUUCUUUGACAUAUUGAAUACUGCUCAUGAUUACUAAUCACAGUAUUUGCUUCUUUUAGGUUUUAACUAGCACAUUUGUAUUUAAAGAACCCUAAACUAAACAUCUCAUACUUAAAGGGGCAUUGAUAACCAACUUAAUAUGACUAACUUAAUGACUUAAUUUAAGUCAUUAAGCAUAUUAAGUAUAUUUGAUAAAAUAACUUAAUGUUGCUAUUUAAAAUCAAAAUCAAUUUAAAGUUAAAACUAUUGUUUUCUAGUGAAUCUAAAAUAGUGUCAUGCUUUCAUUGCCAAAACUGUUGACCUUCUCAUCUCUCUACCACAGCCAUCAAUGCUUUCCUCCCUUGUGUCUCUCUCAUCGGUCUUUUACAGUUUACUUAAUAUCAGUGACUGUAAAUACAUCAAAUUUUAUAGAUCAAAAAACAGAAAGUAAGUUUUAUUCAGUAAUAAGUUACAAGUUGAAAAAAAAAUUUAACAAAAUUCAUACUAAAGUCUUUUGAAAUCAUUGAGCAUUUAUUGUUCAGUUUUACCCACAGCCAACUUAUUCUAAACUAAAAGGGCAGACUUCUCUUAGAUAUGAAAGAUGAUUAUCUAGUGUUUUAAUGAUGCAUACUCAAGCAUAUUUAUUCCUUGUCUCUACAGGUUGGAUACCGCCAUAUCGAUUGUGCUCAAGUUUACGGCAAUGAGAAGGAGGUAGUUACUGCAAAUAUGCAGACCUGAUUUUGACAAUCUGUGUUGUCAUCUUCAUCAUUGUAGUUGUUGUCUAUGUAUAUCUUGCACAAUAUUGUCGCUUAGAGUGUUUUAAGCAAUCGAUUUUCCUAUAUAUUCCUUAUAUGUUCAAAGUUGAUUGGUUCUUAAACUAAAAUCAUUCAACUAUUGUUCCCUAUUUUCUCUUUAAUUCUCUUGUUUAUUAGAGCAUGUCUCAAUUUCUAUUUGCUCAACCUACUAACUUUGUGUAUCUUUCUAUCAAAAUAUAUACCCUUUGAUUUAUAUCUAACACUUUAAAUGAUAAUUAAAAAAUUAAGAAGGAUCAUUAUUUUGUUGAAUUCUAUUCUCCUGAUUAUCUUGUUAUAUAUAUUCUCCAAAAGCAAUCAUUCUAGUUAUAUCCUUGGUUGUCUAAUAUUUAUUAUAAUAGCAUCCUCUUUUAAGCUUUGCAUAUUUAGUGGAAAUGUCAUUUUGACAUGGCUAGCUGCAAUGUAAAGAAUGGCUGCAAUAUUUGUUUAAAUUUAAUGUGAACUUGAUGAUCACCAACGCCCUAUAAGGCUAUAACCACUUUAUGAUUUCAUCUGGCAUCUGCUACUUUCUAUGUCCCUUUUUAUAUGGGUGAUGGAUCCAACAUAUAUAAUGAAUUCAUCAUUUUGGUUCUCUGCUAUCCAUCAUUCUUCACUGUUUUUUGUUUCUGCUCUUAAUUUUAGUCAAUUGCAUUUUACAUAUUUAUUGUUACUCCUCAUUUUGAUUCUGAGGAAUCUCUCCCUAGUUUUUAUUAUUGAUCAAUACUCUUAACAUAGGAGAAACCAUGAUGUGAACAAGUAACAUAAACCAUGGCACCUGUUUGUGCUUAUGCCUAGUCAAUUCAAUCAUAGCCCAUACAUAGGCUAUGGCCAUAGGGACAAUCCCAACCCUUGAAAUGAAUUGAACUUGCUAAUUCUCAAAUGAUCAGUAGUAUCUCCAGUGUUCAUUAUUCUCAUAUCUCAAUGUUUGAACGUUAUUGACUUGUAACAAGGAUUUUAUAGCCCUAUGAUAUUGUUUUCUUUGCUUGUAGAUUGGUAUUGUUUUAAAGAAGAUGUUUGAAGAUGGCAUAGUGAAGCGUGAGGAUCUGUGGAUUACCUCCAAGCUCUGGUUUGUCUCAGUUUGAUUUUGGCUUGAUUGAAAAUAUUAACAUUAUAGCAACAAUAGCUAUCUGUUACUCUUUAUCUUAAGAUGCUGCUGUUGCAGUGCUGCUUGUACUAUCUACUAAUUCAUUUUCCUUUUCUAGAGUAAACUGGUCUCUUGCAGUUCUUAGCUUCUACCAUUUACAACUUAAAUUAUUUGCAGGUGUACUGAUCAUGGACCAGAAGAUGUGCCAGAGGCACUAAACAGAACAUUGCGAGACUUGCAGCUCGACUACAUUGAUUUAUAUCUUGUAUGUGUUGCCUUAGUUAUUUGUUAAAAGUAACUAGAAGAAUGUGUCAUCCAAUAAAUAUUGCAGGUCUUUGGACCCUAUCAAAGUUCUGUGAAGUUUGCAGAAAGAAAAGGUCAAAACUGAUGAAAGGCAUUCCUCAGAAGAUGGACUCUUGUUAAUGCCAUAUUUAGAUCUUUGAGUGAAAUUUGCAAUAUGGCCAAAUCUUUGAGUCCCUUGAUUCUGCAACCUUGUCUGUAUCUUAGGAACUUAGAAAUUGAACCGUACUUUGAAUAAUUGAUAAUCUGCAUUUUAAUUUAGAUUGCAUUAUUCAGGAGAUUAUUUGAUUGUAACUAAAUGCGGCUGAUUCUUGUAGAUCCAUUGGCCGGUCCGUAUGAAAAAGGGUUCUGUUGGCUUCAAACCUGAAAACCUCACCCAACCAGAUAUACCAAGCACAUGGAGAGCAAUGGAAGCACUCUGUGAUUCUGGCAAGGCUCGAGCUAUUGGUGUAAGCAAUUUCUCCACAAAGAAACUGGGGGACCUGUUGGAGAUUGCACGUGUUCCUCCAGCUGUCGACCAAGUGGAGUGUCAUCCUUCAUGGGACCAGAGAAAACUGCGUGCCUUUUGCAAAUCCAGGGGGGUUCACCUAAGUGUAAGUAGUCAAUCCUUAAUUUACUUUGAAAUUUGGGUUAGCUCCUUAUAUUGUUGAAGAGCAUAUCUUAAUUUACUCAUUAUUUUGAUUCAGCUAUGCGCGCGCAUCUAGAACUAUAAUAAUUUUUUUCUUUAAUUUUGAUUUGCAUGUAUCUUUCAGGGGUAUUCACCAUUGGGUUCUCCAGGUACAACAUGGCUCAAAAGUGACGUCCUUAAGCAUCCAGUUCUGAAAACGGUUGCAGAGAAAUUGGGCAAAUCUCCUGCACAGGUUGCUCUUCGCUGGGGCCUGCAAAUGGGUCAGAGCGUGCUUCCCAAGAGUACACAUGAAUCAAGGAUCAAGGAGAAUUUUGAUGUGUUUGGGUGGUCUAUACCUGAAGACCUGUUUGCUAAGUUUUCUGACAUUGAGCAGGCAAGUAGUUCUUUUCCUCAUUGCCUCUGUCGAUUCCCCCUAUGAUCAUGGCUCCUAGUAAUUGUUUAAUAGUGGGCCGCUAUAUUGCCAUUGUAACUGCCAGUAGCAUUAUGCACCUAGCACCAAUAAAUUAGAGUUAAAACAGCAGAAAGAUUGCGAAUGUCAGUUAUACUCUAUUAUUUCCUGUUGCAUAUGAAGCUUUUUACUGAUUCCUUUAGCGACUGGAUGAUUGGAUGGUGUAUGUGAUGAUAUACAAGUGUAGGAUCAUUUGAGAGGCACAGGAUCUUGUGCCAGAUACUCUUCUCCUGACCUUUUCUAAUAAUAAAAAUAUUUUGGUUUUUAACUGUGCAGGCAAGACUUCUCAGAGGAAGCUCAUUUGCCCAUGAGACCUUGGGCCACUACAAGACUGUUGAGGAACUUUGGGAUGGUGAGCUCUGAUCAGACAAUUUAGUGAAUAUUUGCAGUGACGGGUUGCGCUUUUUGAUAGGGAGAGGUGUGUGGGUUAGUGUCCCUCUCAUAUCAGCAACGUUUACUUGAUUGGUACUCUGGACUGUUUAGUUUCAGUGAGACGUGAUAAUAAAACAAUGCUUUUGAUUUCCAUAGAAAGUUGGAAGUAUAGAAAGCAAUGGUACAUGCUCCAAAAUUGAGAAAAAGAAAAUGUUUCAAUGCUAUGCAAUCCAAAAUUUUUAGGCUGAAUAAUUCAAGAAAUUAUGUAGAUGUUAGUGAAACUGAACUAAAAAGACAAUAAGUAGAUUCAGUCGUUAGGAUUAUCAACUCAGAGAGCAUAAAAUAUUCCAAAUAAUGGCUAGUUAUUGUGAAUUCAGUUUAGGUGAAUUGCUAAUUAAAUCAGGUUCAGCUUGAAUUGGGCGUAAGGUGUCGUCCAGUUCAGCUUGCCACCAUUCCCUCCUAAUAAAAGAGGAAAAUUAACUUGAGCGUAAUUUUGAUAGCAGUUGCAUUUUUCGACUCGGUAAACCAAAAUGCAUUAUAUUUUUAUAUUUCAAAUUUUAUAUAUAUCAUCAUCUGUGGCACUCCUGUGGAUUUGGAAAACACCACAUCCCCAUCCCCAACCCCACCUCUUUCUUUUUUCCUUUUUGGGCUCCAUCUUAAUCGCUUGAAUGGUUGACCACUGCCUAUUCAGUAACAAGGACUCGGAUAAGGUGAGUUCUCAAGGAAUUUUGUGUGUAUUUAUUUAGGUGUAUGUAACAAGAUACACAAAAGCAGCAUGAUCAAGGGGCAAUAAAUAAAUAGGGGAAAAAGGAUUUGACAUGGGUUAUGUUUGGUUCAAUCAGUGAAAUUGUGCUUGAAGCUGCUUUUGGAUGAACCUUUUGCAAAUCAAGUUUCCAAAUUAGUAUUUUCCUUAGUAAUGUUAUAUGGCUGACAUUAUAUUUAAAUAAAUGAGAGAAUGUUAUGAGUAGUAUUUAGAUUCUAAUUUGGAAAUAUUUAUACUAAAAGAAGUGUUUCUCGAUUUAUUGUCUCCUAAAGUGUUCUUAUCAUCACAUUUAUAUGCAUUUUACAUCCUAUCAUUAUUUUAUUUUUUAUUUUGUUUAAUUAAUCUCUUUAUUAUUUUAUGUUUUAUUUAAUUAAUCUUUUUUUAAGAACCUAAAAAUCGAUUUAAAUAGUAUUUCUCUUUUAAAAAACUAAUUAAAAUAAUUUUAACAUGAAAAUUUAAAUAUAAUUACCAAAAGUUUUAGAAAAAAAACAUAGAUGAUUAAAUACAUAUAUUAGUAUGAUACAUUUUUUCCUCUCUAAUAAUAUUUUAGUUCUAAUUAUUUAAUUAUUCUAUUCAACAAUAAAUUAUUUAGAUAAAUAUUAGUUUAUUUAACUUCUUAAAAACAUAAAAAUAAAUACAAAUAUUAAUUUUUUUAAUUAAAUUGUUUUUGAAUCCAAAUUUAAAACAAAAAGCCUCUUUAAUAUAUACUCAAUUCUCCAAUAAUAAUAAUAAUAAUAAUAAUAAUAGUUUUCAUUCUUCAUUUAUUCAAUAAAAAAUAAGUGUAAAUUAUGUUUCUCCUUUCAAUAUGAAUAGUUAAAUGUUAUUAUCAAAUUUCAUAAUAAAAAUUUAGGUAAUGCUUUAAAAAAAAAAAUCAUAAUUUAAUAAUAUUUUUAUUAUAUUACUUAUAUCUACCUUAAUUUAUUCUAAUUAUAUAAGAAAUUCAUGCAUAUAUCUAUUUUCUCAUUGACAAUAACUUUUUCAUUUAUAACCUAUAAUGACCUUUCAAUUCAUAUUGGUUCCUUCAUGUCAAGCUUUAUCAUUUUUUGGACUAUUAUUUUUAUUAAAACAUGAUUGUUAAAACUAUUUAUUCGAUUCAAACAAAAUUUAUGAGUUAUUAAAUGUUUAAUUCUAUAUACACUCAAUAAAUAUAAAUAAAAGAAUAUUUUAUAAGAACAAUAGAAAUGGAAGCAAACUUACAAAAAGUCCAAUGCCUCCCCAUUAUACAAAUUCAUCCAUACUUAACCAACAAAAUAUCAAGUGGAAUGAGCUUAUACAAAAUAAAAAUAUACAAAGUCCAAAACAAAUAUUCAAAUCUAAAUUAAAUAAACUCAAAAAUAAACUUCAAAUUAAUCUAAUUAAAUUUAGUUCAAAUUAACAAAUAUAACUCACCUAAAAUAUCUCACAUUUUACCAAUUUGAUAUCAAGUAAAAAAAAAAAAAAAUACAAGCCUAAAAUCCGAUAACAAUAAUAAUACAAAAAAAAAAAAAAACCAACCUACACCCAAUCAAACGUUCCAAUAGUUCAAUAGUUUGGUCCUAAAUUAAUAAAUAAAUCCAAAUUGAAUUCCACACAAACAAAAUCAAUUACUUUACGAACCAAAAUAAAAAAUAAAAAUAAAACGAAAAUAAAAUAAAGUAAAAGGGAAAUAGCCGGAGUUGCUAGUCGGCGGUGGCCGGCGGUGUGGAGUUGAGGGAGGAAGAAAGAAGAAAAAAAAUAAUAAAAUGAAUAAUAAAAAGGGAAAAUGAGUGAGGUGAGAAAGCGAAGGCAGGGAAGAAUGAGAGAGGGGAAGGGGGGUCGCCGGCCGGCAGUGGUUCGCCAGCGGCAACUGGCCAGCCGUGUUGGAGAUGUCGGUGGAGUGGGCUAGGUUGGGGAGGAAGGAGCGAAUAAAAAUAAAAAUAAAAAAAGUGGGGGAAGAAGGAAGAAAAAAAAAAAAAAGAGAGAAAAAUGGGAAAGAAAGAGAGAGGAGAGGGGGGGGGAAGAAAAAAAAGAAGGGGAGAAAAUGGGGAGGAAAGAGGGUAGUAUUAUAUCAAAAAUUAAGGGUAGUAUUAAAAAAAAUAAAAAUACUUUUUAAUAAGUUUUUAAUUCAUAUCUCUUAUCAAACACUAGUUGCCCAAGUGCUACCCUUACGUAUAUUAACUAUUAAGGGUAGUAUUAUAACUUCCAUAAAUUGAGUAAUGGAUUUUUUUCUACAAAAUAUUAUAAUGAUACCGAGAAUGUUAAAUUGUAAAAUAUAUAUUACUAAAUUACCAAAAUAGGUUCAACUUGCUUUCUAAAAUUAAAACUGCUUUAAAUUUGAUAAAAAUUUGAGUACCUUUAAUAAAAUUAGUGUAGCAAUUUAAAAAUGAAAUUUUCCUACCAAUGAUAAAUAUAUAUAUAUUUAAAAUUUUAAAAUUAGAUUUUUAAUUACCUUUUUAAUUCAUGCUGCCGUACAUAUUAUCUUUAAAACCUCUUUUACAUAAAUAAAAAAUAAAAAAUAAAUUAAAUAAUUAUAAUAUAUGAGUUGGUGCAAGAUAAUUAUUUUUAGUGAAAAAGGAAAAAAAAGGGAGUUUACGCUUAAAAGGCAAAAGGAUUGAGGUGCGGUUUCGUUAUCUUUUGAAACAGAAAAAGAUAGAUGUCCACGUAAGAUUCGAUAUUAUCUUCAAAUCCAAUGUGGAUUUUUUUAAAAUAAAAAUAUUUUGGUUCGAUUUUUGUGGCCACAAAAUGUAACGUUAAGACAGCAAGAGCAAGAUGCGACAGGAGAGGAGCUUCUGACACUCUUACCUUCUUUUUUUUUUCACAUCUUUGGAGUCUGUAGAGUAGUCCAUCUUCAGAUCAUCUGGAAAUGUCGGACGACAUCCGGUUCUUUCAACUCAACACUGGAGCUAAGAUGCCUUCGGUAGGGUUGGGUACGUGGCAGUCAGAUCCAGGUCUUGUCGGCCAGGCUGUAGCCAUCGCCAUCAAGGUCUCUCUUCUUCUUCUUUAUGACUUCUUGCUCUAUGGUUACAAGAACUUUUGGAAUUCUUGGGAUCUGGAUUUGUGAUUGAGUUUUGCUGAGGCUAAAAUCAUCUUGAAACGUAAAAAGAGCGCGUCAGUAUUUUUUUUAGAACAAUUGGGAUCCAUCAGCGCGUGAGUAGUUUGAGAGGCAAGAUGCAUAUGUUUUGAUAAUACCAUGCACCUAUUCCAAUCUUUUGAAUGUUUGUUAAAAGUGUGUUUUGGUAGUAUGGAAAUGCUCUUCAAGGAACUGCUGGUAUCUAGUGUUUGCGGUAGAAGAAUAGCGUUUGUGUUGAUACCACAGUCUGUUCUUUUACCAGAUUGGAGAUGAAGUUGUUGGUUCGAUGCCUUUUUGAACCUUUUUGAACUAAAUUUUCUGCAAGCACAAAUGUCAUGUCUGCUUUUAGAACUAGAUACAGUCUACUUUUGGUUGGAUGCUUCUUUUCCUUCCAGGAUAAAAUCUCUUUCCAAUGCGCUUCUGCAUUCAACUCAUGGACGAUCAUGUACCCAAAAGUGGUGGAGCUUCUCUGAUUAAUUGAUAGGAGAUCAACACUUGAGAACAAAACUAGGGGUCUUCUUUGUAUUGUGAUUUCAUCUUCUUUAAUGAGGGGAAUCACCCUCUUGAAAGUAAUCUUUGUGAAGCUACUUCUCCCAUGCAUAUUUAAAAUUAAUCAGAGAAGCCACUUCUCAUCAACUCUUUCCUCCACUGUGUCUCUCUCAUCAGUCUUUUACAGUUUACCUAAUUUCAACGAGUGUAAAUACAUUAACUUUUGUAGUUCAGAGAAGUACGUUUUGUUGAAUAAUCUUAAUAUUCAAAAUACAGAUUCUGUAAUAACUUUGGAGUCCAAAAAUUCAGGAAAAAUCAUUUAAAGCGCUUCAAAUUAUUGUGCAUUAAGUCUUCAAUUUUACCCACCGCCAACUUAUUCUAAACAAAAAGGAGAGACUUCUCUUAGAUAUGAAAAUGAUUAUCUAGUGUUUUAAUGAUGCAUACUCAAGCAUAUUUAUUCCUGGUCUCUACAGGUUGGAUACCGCCAUAUCGAUUGUGCUCAAGUCUACGGCAAUGAGGAGGAGGUAAUUACUGCAAAUAUGCUGAACUGAUUUUGAUAUUCUGUGUUAUCAUCUUCAUCAUUGUAACUGUUGUCUGUAUAUAUCUUGUACAAUAUUGUAGGUUAAAUCAUUUUAAGCAAUUGAUUUUUCCUUCUGAUACUAAUCUGGGUAUAUUUCUUCGAUGUUCAAAGUUGAUUGGUUCUAUUAACUAAAAUCAUUCAACUGCUGUUCCCCAUUGUCUUUGAUGAUCACCGACACCCCUAUAACCACUUUACCACUUCAUAUGGCUUCUGCUACUUUCUAUGUCCCUUUCUAUUUGGGUGGUGGAUCCAACAUAAUGAAAAUCACUAUUUUGGAUCUCUGCUGGCCAUCAUUCUUCACUGUUUUUUGUUUCUAUUCUUGAGUUUACUCAAUUGCACUUUACAUAUUCAUUGAUUCUCCUGGUUUUGAUUCUGAAGUUUAUACCUGACAUAGGAAAAUUAUGAGGUAAACAAGUAACAUAAACCAUGGGACCUUUUUUUGCUUAUGCCUAGUCAAUUCAAUCAUAGCCCAAACAUAGGCUAUGGCCAUAGGGACACGAUCCCAACCCUCGACAUAAAUUGAACUUGCUAAUUCACAAAUGAUCAGUGGUCUCUGCACUGUUCAUUAUUCUGAUGUCUCAGUGUUUGAAAGUUAAUGACUUGUAACAAGGAUUUUAUAGCACUAUGAUAUUGUUUUCUUUUCUUCUAGAUCGGUAUUGUUUUAAAGAAGCUGUUUGAUGAUGGCGUAGUGAAGCGUGAGGAUUUGUGGAUUACCUCCAAGCUCUGGUUUGUCUCAGUUUGAUUUUGGCUUUCAUUGAAAAUAUUAACAUUAUAGCAACAAUAUAGCUAUCUGUUUCUCUUUAUCUUAAGAUGCUGCUGUUGCAGUGCUGUUUGUACUAUCCACUAGCUGAUUCAUUUUCCUUUUCUAGAGUAAACUGGUCUCUUGCAGUUCUUAGCUUCUACCAUUCACAACUUAAAUUAUCUGCAGGUGUACUGAUCAUGCACCAGAAGAUGUACCGGAGGCACUAAACAGAACUUUGAAGGACCUGCAGCUCGACUACGUUGAUUUGUAUCUUGUAUGUAUUGCACUAGUUGUUUGUUAAAAGUUACUAGAAGAAUGUGUCAUCGAAUAAACAAUGCAGGUCUUUGGACCCUAUCAAAGUUUGUGAAGUUUGCAGAAAGAAAAGUUCAUAACUGAAGAACGGCAUUCCUCAGAAGAUGGAAUCUCGAUAAUCAUGUCAUCUUUAGAUCUUUGAGCGAAGUUUGAAAUAUGGCCAAAUCUUUGAGUCCCUUUAUUCUGCAACCUUGUCUCUAUCUUAGGCACUUAGAAAGCAAUCAAACUUUGAAUAAUGGUUGAUCAGCAUUUUAAUUUAAUUGCAUUAUUCAGGAGAUUAUUUGGUUGUAACUAAAUGUGGCUGAUUCUUGUAGAUCCAUUGGCCAAUGAGUAUGAAAAAGGGUUCUGUUGGCUUCAAACCUGAAAACCUCGCCCAACCAGAUAUACCAAGCACAUGGAGAGCAAUGGAAGCACUCUAUGAUUCUGGCAAGGCUCGAGCUAUUGGUGUAAGCAAUUUCUCCACAAAGAAACUGGGGGACCUGUUGGAGGUUGCACGUGUUCCUCCUGCUGUCAUCCAAGUGGAGUGUCAUCCUUCAUGGCAGCAGAGCAAAUUGCAUGCUUUCUGUAAAUCCAAGGGGGUUCACCUAACUGUGUGUAGCCAAUCUUUUAUUCACUUUGAAAUUUGCAUUAGCUAAUUAUAUUAUUGAAGAGCAAACCUUAAUUUACUCAUUUUUUUUACUCAACUAUGUUCAUCUAGAAACUACAAUAACUUUUUUCUUUAAUUUUUAUUUUCAUGUAUCUUUCAGGGGUUUUCACCACUGGGUUCUCCAGGUACAACAUGGUUCAAAGGUGAUAUCCUUAAGCAUCCAGUUCUGACUAUGGCUGCAGAGAAAUUGGGCAAGUCUCCAGCACAGGUUGCUCUCCGCUGGGGCCUGCAAAUGGGUCAUAGCGUGCUUCCCAAGAGUACAAGUGAAUCAAGGAUCAAGGAGAAUUUUGAUGUGUUUGGGUGGUCUACACCUGAAGACCUGUUUGCUAAGUUUUCUGAAAUUGAGCAGGCAAGUAGUUCUUUUCCUCAUUGCCUCUGUCGAUUCCCUUAUCAUCAUGGCUCCUAGUAAUUGUUGACUAGUGGGCCACUAUAUAAAUCUUUUUACUUGAUUCCUUUAACGACUGAUCGAUUGGAUGGUGUAUGUGGCGAUAUACAAGGAAGUAUAAGAUCAUUUGAGAGGCACAGGAUCUUGUGCUAGAUACUCUUCUUCUUACCCGUUCUUUCAUAAUAAUAAGUAAUAACAGUUUGGUUUUUAACUCUGCAGGCAAGACUUAUGACAGCAAGCUUCUUUGUCCAUGACACCUUGAGCCCCUACAAGACUGUUGAGGAAUUUUGGGAUGGUGAGAUCUGAU